rnacentral:lncRNA from 1 species
CGAGACUGUCAGACACUGCGUGUCCAACGUUGUGGGGAAAAGAAAUCACCAAAUCAGGAAAAGGCCCAGGGUGACUAUCAGGGUGCUGAGCAGGAUGAAGCUGCAUUGGUUGAGUUGCUGUAGGGACCGAGGGCUUCAGCAGAGGUGUGUUACAGACAUAACUCAGAUCGAGGCGCAGACUGAGCCCAGCACAUAUCAGAGCAUAACAUCCUCCGAACAAGUCUCAGCCCCGCUCUCUGUUUAACCUCUGUGGAGCAUGUGAUUAUCCGCAGAACAACUGCUGACCGCCAUGGGAACCCAGACUGUUGUUAAGUCUAUGUAUGCCAGGAAUGGGCAAUUAUUUCGGGCAGAGGGCUGCGUACUGAGUUUUGGCAAGCCACCGAGGGCCACAUGACAUGCAGCCAUGGGCAGAUAAAUAUUAAUUUUCUAAAUUUUUUAGG